UUACCUACGGGGGGCAGCAGUGGGGAAUAUUGGGCAAUGGAGGCAACUCUGACCCAGCAACGCCGCGUGAGUGAUGAAGGUCUUCGGAUUGUAAAACUCUUUAAGUGGGGACGAAGAAAGUGACUGUACCCACAGAAUAAGCCUCGGCUAACUACGUGCCAGCAGCCGCGGUAAUACGUAGGAGGCAAGCGUUAUCCGGAAUGACUGGGCGUAAAGGGUGCGUAGGUGGUUCGACAAGUUGGUAGCGUAAUUCCGGGGCUCAACCUCGGCGCUACUACCAAAACUGUUGGGCUUGAGUGCAGGAG
rnacentral:rRNA from 1 species